UGGGGAAUAUUGCACAAUGGGCGCAAGCCUGAUGCAGCCAUGCCGCGUGUAUGAAGAAGGCCUUCGGGUUGUAAAGUACUUUCAGCGGGGAGGAAGGCGAUGCGGUUAAUAACCGCGUCGAUUGACGUUACCCGCAGAAGAAGCACCGGCUAACUCCGUGCCAGCAGCCGCGGUAAUACGGAGGGGGCAAGCGUUAAUCGGAAUUACUGGGCGUAAAGCGCACGCAGGCGGUCUGUCAAGUCGGAUGUGAAAUCCCCGGGCUCAACCUGGGAACUGCAUCCGAAACUGGCAGGCUUGAGUCUCGUAGAGGGGGGUAGAAUUCCAGGUGUAGCGGUGAAAUGCGUAGAGAUCUGGAGGAAUACCGGUGGCGAAGGCGGCCUCCUGGACGAAGACUGACGCUCAGGUGCGAAAGCGUGGGGAGCAAACA
rnacentral:rRNA from 1 species